UGUUUACUCAUAACAGCUGGCAAUAGUGAUUGCAUGCAGAUAAGUAACCGUGCAGCAAGAUUGUGUCAGCUUAAUGUUACAGUUUGUGGCAUGAGACAGUUAG